AGCAUGUUAUAGUGUCUGUGGAGAAGUUGUUUGUGAAUGUUGAGUUUGUAUGUUGGUUCAAACGAAUGGUUGCUAAUUUAUUUUCGUCGUUUGGUGUGAAAGGUAUUUAAUAUAUUCCAGAAAUGACGUAGCUGUGCUGGAUAGUGUGAGACCACUGAGUUUGAAGAAACGUUAGUGUGAAAAUUAUGGCCGAUAUCAGUCAGCUUUCAAAUGAAGAAAUUAGGGCUGAGUUGCUAAGAUUCGGAUAUCAUGUGGGGCCAGUGACACAGUACUCCCGAAAUGUUUAUAUUAAGCGGCUUCAACAACUUUUAUCUGAAGAUGAGGAUAAGCAUACGAAAUCGGAUAUUAGGACAAGACUAGCAACAUUAAGGCUUUCAACAUUAAGCUCAGAAGAAGAUACCGACGAAGCAGGAACAGCAUCUUCGAACAGAGGUGGUAGAAAGAAGAGAAGAAGUUCGCACUUUCCGCCGAGCAACGUACCGCAUAGAAAUUCACGCGCAGCACCAGACAUACAAGAUCCUUGCAUUGUUAAUGCGUUCAGAGUACCAGUUAUUCGACCAGCACGUAGAAGUCUAUUGGAGAGAGCAACUGGGGAAGUGAGAGAACGUGCAGAAUUCAGAGGCCGUUAUGCAGAUUAUUCAUCAGGACUGGAAAGUUCGGAAUCUGACGAUGCGGAUGCACGAUCUGGGUUUCAAUCUCGUAAAAAAAAUGUAUCAUCGGACGUCACAAGUAGGCCUAUUUACCAUUCCAAAACAGCUGAGAGUCGUAGGAAGUUGUUACCUACAGGGACAUCAACUUCAACCUGGCUGUCCACUAUUCGCUCUGUCCUUAACCCACUGGGUUCUCUGAUGUCAGGCUUUUCAAGGCGUUCUCGUGUGUCAGACAGCCGUAUAGAAAACAAUGGGUAUAUUCCACAACCCAGCAGGUUUGGCAGUUUGGAACGACAAGGUAACAGAACUAUAGAAAGUUUCCCGACAACGGAAGAGAGGAAUUGGUUUUCACGAAAUUGUCAAGUUGUGCCGAAGACACUUGUUUUGAUUGUGAUGCUUUUUUUCCUUGGCCUGGGAGUAUCAUAUGCAGCUCUAGGAAGAGUUAAGUCAUACCGGAGUCACACAGGAAACAAUUACCCCAUCUGUUCAAACCAAGCAAUUCCCUCGAGAAACUGUGUGCCGAGGGAUAAGCUGCACGCAGCUACCAGUUUAUUUAAGAUUGCUGCUCCACUCAUUCAAGAGAAAUCUGAAGAAUAUGCCUGCCUGUCGCUAUAUGGACAAGCAGAACGGACACUUUUGACAAGUUCUGCUCUCUUGGCUUACGUGAAAGAGAAGGGAUAUUUUUAUGACCAAGAUGACAUUAAGAAUAUGGAUGUUCUCAUAUUAUUCAAUCGUCACUGGGGAUAUACACUAAACAGGACAGGUGGAGGAGAAGUUAUGUAUGUUUAUACAAUGAGAGCACCUGUUAAGUGCUAUUUAAUGUAUCACCUCAGUUGGUUCGUGAAUCGAUUGGUCGAAGCUGCACUUUGUGUGGUGGUGAUUUAUAUUAUCUUUAAGCUGCUGUCAGUUUACAAAGCACAUGCUGAAACUCACAAAAGAAAUGUUCGUGCAAUGGUGGGUCGAAUUACUAAGUUUCUUAGAACAGAAUCUGACAACAAUGCUGAAGAACCAUUUUUUGUUGUUAUUGAUUAUGUUCGUGACCAGCUGAUACCAGCGAAAGACUAUAAACGCAUGGCUUUGGUUUGGACGUCAGCUGUUAAUUUUAUUAGACACAAUGAUCCACGUAUUAAGGAAGAACAGUGUGUCGUUAAUGGAGAACUGAAGACCGUGUGGCGCUGGUUGCCAGAGUCUGGAAAUGCAUCAUCUGAGCAAACACAAGAAUUUAAUAAAUCUUCACAAGGACGUCGUUCAGUUUUGUCCAAUGAAAAUUUUUCUGGUUCGAGUGGUGAAGAUAUCAAUCAGGAGAAACUGUCCAGAAGCAAUAGUCACCGAAGCAGUAAGAUCUGGCAAGGUCAAGCAUUUGAAACCAUGGCGGGAAGUCCAAACUCUGUGCCUUGCAGCCCAACACCUUGUCUGAAAAUUCGACACAUGUUUGAUCCAGAUGCUGAGCAUGGUGAAGACUGGCCAACAUUUAUUCGAGACGCCAUACUAGAAAAGUGUGAGGGAGUGGCCAUCCUUCAUCUCUUUGUUGACAAAGCUUCUCGUGAAGGAUGUGUGUAUGUGAAGUGUCAGACACCAGAAGAUGCAGGCAGAGCGUAUUGUGCACUGCAUGGCUGGUGGUUUGGUAAUUAUGUAGGUGCAUCAUUAUCACAGUGUUGUCUGCUAACUAGAGUCUGCAGUGAUCAGAAAUCAGUCAAUACCAAUUGAUGUCAUUCAACUUCAGUCAGCUCAGCAACAUUCAUCAGCCACAGCACCAAGAGUCUUCUUAAGCACACCUUGUCACAGUCAAAUACCUUAGGAUUGAAAGAUACCAUGAACGCUUUCCUGAAGCAGUGAAUGCUAAAACUGUACUGAAGCCUUCCAACAAUCAAAGAUUGUCCUUGGGAGACUAGCAUCAUUA
rnacentral:misc_RNA from 1 species